rnacentral:tRNA from 1 species
CUGCAAGUGGUGUAGCUGGUAGCAUACGUGAUCUGGGUUCAUGGGGUCGCAGGUUCAAAUCCUGCCUUGCAGA